GAUGAACGCUGGCGGCGUGCCUAAUACAUGCAAGUCGAGCGAACAGAUGAGGAGCUUGCUCCUCUGACGUUAGCGGCGGACGGGUGAGUAACACGUGGAUAACCUACCUAUAAGACUGGGAUAACUUCGGGAAACCGGAGCUAAUACCGGAUAAUAUAUUGAACCGCAUGGCUCAAUAGUGAAAGACGGUUUUGCUGUCACUUAUAGAUGGAUCCGCGCCGCAUUAGCUAGUUGGUAAGGUAACGGCUUACCAAGGCAACGAUGCGUAGCCGACCUGAGAGGGUGAUCGGCCACACUGGAACUGAGACACGGUCCAGACUCCGACGGGAGGCAGCAGUAGGGAAUCUUCCGCAAUGGGCGAAAGCCUGACGGAGCAACGCCGCGUGAGUGAUGAAGGUCUUCGGAUCGUAAAACUCUGUUAUUAGGGAAUAACAAAUGUGUAAGUAACUAUGCACGUCUUGACGGUACCUAAUCAGAAAGCCACGGCUAACUACGUG
rnacentral:rRNA from 1 species